CAAACUAGAGUACAGGAGAGGUAAGCGGAAUUCCUAGUGUAGCGGUGAAAUGCGUAGAUAUUAGGAAGAACACCAGUGGCGAAGGCGGCUUACUGGACUGAAACUGACGCUGAGKCACGAAAGCGUGGGGAGCRAACAGGAUUAGAUACCCUGGUAGUCCACGCUGUAAACGAUGANUGCUAGGUGUCGGGGGGAGACUCUCGGUGCCGCAGCUAACGCAAUAAGCACUCCACCUGGGGAGUACGGUCGCAA
rnacentral:rRNA from 1 species